UUCAAAACACGCACAAUAGGAAGAGGACCGAAAGGGAAAUUUACCCAAACUGCCCAAAACGCUGCACAUCAUUUGGAUCAAUUUGAAAUAGAAAUAAAACAUAUUACGAAAUUUAAAAGAAAUAAAAAAUAAUUUAAAAAACUGUAAAAACAAGGGGACCAAAUGCGUAAAUGGCCCAUUUUGAACCCUAUAAAAUCCCAUUUUAAAACCCUAAAAUCAUUGCCCUUUUCUGCAAUAGCAGCCACCACAAGGACUGCUCCACCUUCUCCUCUGUUUUCAAGCCAAACUCCCCCCUUCCAACUUCGAUUUGGACGAAGAGAAGCAAAGAUGUCGAUGGCGCGCCUCUUUUGGUGAAGGAGAACGUGAAGGAGGUGUGUCGUGCAAGCACAACGUGGGCAGUAGAACGGUUGCUACAGCGUGGGCAGUUGCUGCGGCGCCAAUCUGCUGUUAGCCACUGCUUAGGGUUAGGCUGGGAUUUGGGUUAGUGACUUGGGCUUGUAAUGGGUUUGGGCUUUAGGCUUAGUUGGGCCCGGGUCAAAAAUUGGGUAUUACAAAUUUCAUAUUUAAAUGAUUUUCUAUAAUAAUUUCAUUUUAAUUUUAAAUAUAUUUUAAUCUAUUCUUUUUAAUGUAUAUGUUCUAGUAAACUAUAAAUUAAUAAUUUAAAGUGGUGCUCAAGAUUUUAAA